UGGGGAAUAUUGCACAAUGGGGGAAACCCUGAUGCAGCAAUGCCGCGUGUGUGAAGAAGGCCUGCGGGUUGUAAAGCACUUCUAUCAGGAAAGAACCUGCCUGGGACUAAUAAGCCCAGGCACUGACGGUACAUGAGGAAUACGCACCGGCUAACUACGUGCCAGCAGCCGCGGUAAUACGUAGGGUGCAAGCGUUAAUCGGAAUUACUGGGCGUAAAGCGUGCGCAGGCGGUUUUGUAAGACAGGCGUGAAAUCCCCGGGCUCAACCUGGGAAUUGCGCUUGUGACUGCAAGGCUGGAGUGCGGCAGAGGGGGAUGGAAUUCCGCGUGUAGCAGUGAAAUGCGUAGAUAUGCGGAGGAACACCGAUGGCGAAGGCAAUCCCCUGGGCCUGCACUGACGCUCAUGCACGAAAGCGUGGGGAGCAA
rnacentral:rRNA from 1 species